GCCUACAGCCACACCAUCCAAAAAGCACCUGAUCUUGUCUAAUCUUGGAAACUAAGCAGGGUUGGUCGUCCUGAUGAGUAUCUGAAGGAA
rnacentral:rRNA from 14 species